UACUCCUACGGGAGGCAGCAGUGGGGAAUAUUGCACAAUGGGCGCAAGCCUGAUGCAGCCAUGCCGCGUGUAUGAAGAAGGCCUUCGGGUUGUAAAGUACUUUCAGCGGGGAGGAAGGGAGUAAAGUUAAUACCUUUGCUCAUUGACGUUACCCGCAGAAGAAGCACCGGCUAACUCCGUGCCAGCAGCCGCGGUA
rnacentral:rRNA from 1 species